rnacentral:ncRNA from 2 species
GCACCCAUGCAGGGGUACGGAAGAUGUCCACGGCACGCCGCGGGCCUUCCGUUGAGAGGGCGGUGCCGCCCAACCCUUCGAACCUGUCAGCUAACACUGUCGUAGGGAGCAUGCCCACCAGCAUA